CCUACGGGUGGCAGCAGUGAGGAAUAUUGGUCAAUGGACGAGAGUCUGAACCAGCCAAGUCGCGUGAAUGAUGACUGCCCUCUGGUUUUUAAACUUCUUUUAUAAAGGAAUAAAACGAGGCACGUGUGCCUUUUUGCAUGUACUUUAUGACUAAGGAUCGGCUCACUCCGUUCCAGCAGCAGCGGUAAUACGGAGGAUCCGAUCGUUAUCCGGAUUUAUUGGGUUUAAAGGGAACGUAGAUGGGUUGUUAAGUCAGUUGUGAAAGUUUGCGGCUCAACCGUAAAAUUGCAAUUGAGACUGGCAGUCUUGAGUACAGUUGAGGUAGGUGGAAUUCGUGGUGUAGCGGUGAAAUGCGUAGAGAGCACGAAGAACCCCGAUUGCGAAGGCAGCUUACUAAACUGUGACUGACAUUGAUGCUCGAAAGUGUGGGUAGCAAACAGGAUUAGAUACCCGUGUAGUC
rnacentral:rRNA from 1 species